CUUUUUGAGAGUUUGAUCCUGGCUCAGGAUAAACGUUGGCGGCGUGCCUUAGGCAUGCAAAUCAAGGGGCUCCGACGCAAGUCGGAGAACCGGUGGACGGGUGAGUAAUACGCAGGAAUCUGCCUGGAAGUGGGAUAUAGCUCGGCGAAAGCCGGGGUAAUCUCCCAUGUGAACGCAAGUUUAAAGCCGCAAGGCGCUUCUAGAUGAGCCUGCGUCCUAUCAGCUAGUUGGUGGGGUAAUGGCCUACCAAGGCGACGACGGGUAGCUGGACUGAGAGGUCGGUCAGCCACAAUGGGACUGCGACCAGAACUGAUCGCCUGCAUUGGUAACGAUGCAGUAAAAUCCAACUAAUAACGGUGGAGUCCAAACAAGCUACUUGACUUCGGGUAACCUUUGGGUUACGUUAGAAGUAUGUACGUUUGGGAUAAUACCGUGGGAAGUUCUAGAAGAGUUAAUCCAACGGCGCUAGCAUAUAUUGCAGGAUUUUUAGACGGUGAUGGGUGUAUUAAAGCAAGACUAGAUAAACAACCAAACAAUAAGUUUGGCUGGAGAACUAGAAUUGCAGUUAGCUUUACCCAACACACUAGAAAUCGGCAUGUAUUGGAUUGGAUAUACAGCCAGCUUAGAAAUGGUUCUAUAGCUGACUAUCCAUCUAAAAAUUUAUCAGAGUAUGUAAUUACUGAUAGUAAAUUUGUGGAGCGUUUGUUGAAGGGUUUAAAACUAUAUGUAGUGAAUAAGUUCAAACAAUUAGAUUUGGCUUUACAGCUUCUAAUUUUAAAAGAUCGUUUUAAGAAUAAAGAUUCUUUUAAUAAAGGUUUAGAAUUAGCGCUACAAAUUAGAGGUUUAAAUCAUUAUCACAAAAAACAUUUUUCUAGUAACCCCGUAACGACUGACAUGGAAGGUACCAGAUAAUCUGGGAUACUAAACUUCCAUUACAUGUUGGCUCCCCCGAUCAAAUCGGGGGAUGAAGAUAUAGUCUGAUACUCCGAGGGAUCGGAGAAAACAUUUAUGACGGCCCAUACACCUACGGGUGGCAGCAACCGGGAAUAUUCGACAAUGGACGAAAGUCUGAUCGAGCGACGCCGCGUGGAGGAUGAAGGCCCUCGGGUUGUAAACUCCUUUUAUCUGGGAAGAUUAUGACGGUACCAGAUGAAUAAGCACUUGCUAACUACGUGCCAGAAGCCUCGGUAAUGCGUAGAGUGCAAACGUUAUCCGGAUUUAUUGGGCGUAAAGAGUUGCGUAGGCUGAUCCGUGCAUUUUGUUUGAAAUGCUCUGACUUAAUCAGGGAUUUGGACAAAAUAUGGCGGAUCUUGAUGGUUGGAGAGGGUGCUGGAACCUGAGGUGUAGCAGUGAAAUGCGUUGAUAUCUCAGGGAACACCAAAGGCGUAGGCAGGCACCUAGACAACACAUGACGCUGAGGCACGAAAGCUGGGGGAGCGAAGCAGAUUAGAGACCUGCGUAGUCCCAGCCGUAAACUAUCUCUGCUAGAUAGCCGCUUUUGCGGCUGUCGCAGCUAACGCGUUAAGCAGAGCGCCUGGGGAGUACGAGCGCAAGCUUAAAACUCAAAGGAAUUGACGGGGACCCGCACAAGCAGUGGAGCGUGUUGUUUAAUUCGAUACGAAACGAAAAACCUCACCAGGGCUUGACAUGCUAGCGUUCUAUUCCCAGGAAACUGGGGAAAUGCGUAAGCAGGCUAGCACAGAUGCUGCAUGGCUGUCGUCAGCUCGUGGCGUGAGCUGUUCCAUUAAGUUGGGAAACGAGCGCAACCCUCACCGUAUGUUAAAUAAUUCAUGCGGAACAGCCCCGAUUUUUCGGGGAGGAAGGCGAGGAUGACGUCAAGUCAGCACGGUUCUUACGCCCUGGGCCACAAACACACUACAAUGGCGAAAAACAACGAGUUGCAAGCUAGCAAUAGCAAGCUAAUCUCUGAAAUUUCGCCUCAGUUCAGAUUGGGGUCUGCAACCCGACCCCAUGAAGUCGGAAUUGCUAGUAAUCGCGGAUCAGCGUGCCGCGGUGAAUACGUUCUCGGGUCUUGUACACACCGCCUAUAGUAUUUAAUAUAAUGCUAUAUAAAACGCGCAUGGCAGCGUAAAUAACUAGUUGGUUAAAAUCCAAC
rnacentral:rRNA from 1 species